CCUACGGGAGUCAGCAGUGAGGAAUAUUGGUCAAUGGGCGGGAGCCUGAACCAGCCAAGCCGCGUGAGGGAAGCAGGUACAGCGUAUCGUAAACCUCUUUUGUCAGGGAACAACGGCGGGGACUAGUCCCCGGAUGAGGGUACCUGAAGAAAAAGCAUCGGCUAACUCCGUGCCCGCAGCCGCGGUAAUACGGAGGAUGCGAGCGUUAUCCGGAUUUAUUGGGUUGAAAGGUUGCGCAGGCGGACUGUUAAGUCAGCGGUAAAAGCCCGGGGCUCAACUCCGGCGAGACGUUGAAACGGGCGGGCGGGAGUGGGAGAGAAGUACGCGGAAUGCGCGGUGUAGCGGUGAAAUGCUUAG
rnacentral:rRNA from 1 species